UACGGGGGGGGCAAGCGUUGUUCGGAAUUACUGGGCGUAAAGGGCUUGUAGGUGGCCAACUAAGUCAGACGUGAAAUCCCUCGGCUUAACCGGGGAACUGCGUCUGAUACUGGAUGGCUUGAGUGUGGGAGAGGGAUGCGGAAUUCCAGGUGUAGCGGUGAAAUGCGUAGAUAUCCGGAGGAACACCGGUGGCGAAGGCGGCAUCCUGGACCAUUACUGACACUGAAAAGCGAAAGCCAGGGGAGCAAACGGG
rnacentral:rRNA from 1 species